rfam:TPA: Bos taurus chromosome 21, whole genome shotgun sequence.
UCCCUGGUGGCUCAGACGGUAAAGCAUCUGCCUGCAAUGUGGGAGACCUGGGUUCGAUUCCUGGAUAGGGAA